rnacentral:rRNA from 1 species
CACGUAGGCACCAAGCGUUGUCCGGAUUUAUUGGGCGUAAAGAGCUCGUAGGCGGUCCAUCACGUCGGGAGUGAAAAGCUGGGGCUUAACCCCGGUCCUGCUUCCGAUACGGGUGGACUAGAGGUAGGCAGGGGAGAACGGAAUUCCUGGUGUAGCGGUGAAAUGCGCAGAUAUCAGGAGGAACACCGGUGGCGAAGGCGACUUACUGGACACAUAUUGACGCUGAGGUGCGAAAGCGUGGGGAGCAAACAGG